UACGUAGGCAGCGAGCGUUGUUCGGAGUUACUGGGCGUAAAGGGUGUGUAGGCGGUUGUUUAAGUUUGGUGUGAAAUCUCCCGGCUCAACUGGGAGGGUGCGCCGAAUACUGAAUGACUUGGAGUGCGGGAGAGGAAAGUGGAAUUCCAGGUGUAGCGGUGAAAUGCGUAGAUAUCUGGAGGAACACCGGUGGCGAAGGCGGCAUCCUGGACCGGCAUUGACGCUGAGGCGCGAAAGCCAGGGGAGCAAACGGG
rnacentral:rRNA from 1 species